CCUACGGGUGGCAGCAGUGGGGAAUAUUGGACAAUGGGCGAAAGCCUGAUCCAGCCAUGCCGCGUGUGUGAAGAAGGCCUUCGGGUUGUAAAGCACUUUCAGUGGGGAAGAAAGCCUUGGGGCUAAUACCCUCGAGGAAGGACAUUACCCACAGAAGAAGCACCGGCUAACUCCGUGCCAGCAGCCGCGGUAAUACGGAGGGUGCGAGCGUUAAUCGGAAUUACUGGGCGUAAAGCGCGCGUAGGCGGUCUGAUAAGCCGGUUGUGAAAGCCCCGGGCUCAACCUGGGAACGGCAUCCGGAACUGUCAGGCUAGAGUGCAGGAGAGGAAGGUAGAAUUCCCGGUGUAGCGGUGAAAUGCGUAGAGAUCGGGAGGAAUACCAGUGGCGAAGGCGGCCUUCUGGACUGACACUGACGCUGAGGUGCGAAAGCGUGGGUAGCAAACAGGAUUAGAUACCCCAGUAGUC
rnacentral:rRNA from 1 species